rnacentral:lncRNA from 1 species
ACCUGAUUGAAUACAAAAAAGGGGCCAAGCAUUGAAGAAACUUAAGAUCAAUAUAAAGAGAAACCCUCAAGAGGUUGGAGGGCAUUUGCUUGCUAGAAACAACCGGACCUCUCUGCUUUGGCCUCAGGCGUCACUGGAAUGUUUCAUCUGGGCCACAGUUCUGCCUGUCUCCACUGAAGCAGCACAGCACCAAGAAGAGGUGCCCAGUUCUACU